UGGGCUGUGGCUCAGUGGUAGAGCAUCUGUCUGUCGUGCAGAAGGUCUCAGGUUCAAUCCCUGACAUCUCAG